rnacentral:tRNA from 1 species
GGAGAGAUGGCUGAGUGGCCGAAAGCGCUCGCUUGGAGAGCGAGUGUACCUUUACCGGUACCGCGGGUUCGAAUCCCGCUCUCUCCG